AGGGAGCCUGAGAAACGGCUACCACAUCUAAGGAAGGCAGCAGGCGCGCAAAUUACCCAAUCCAGACACUGGGAGGUAGUGACGAGAAAUACCAAAGUGUGCCUUUUGGUUCACUAUUGGAAUGAACGUAACACAGUACCUUCGAUGAGUACCUACUGGAGGGCAAGUCUGGUGCCAGCAGCCGCGGUAAUUCCAGCUCCAGUAGUGUAUAUCAAAAUUGUUGCGGUUAAAACGCUCGUAGUUGGAUUACAAAAGUUUGGCGUCAGACAAGCAUUAGCUUGGUUGGCGUCGGGCUUUUUUAUCGCAAGAACCCUUCGUGCGCUUCAUCGUGUGCGAUUGGCCACUUGCGGAGCGUGCCUUGAAUAAAGCACAGUGCUCAAAGCAAGCGUAAUGCUUGAAUGUUUAAGCAUGGAACGAAUAACUACUGACACAGUUCAGUUGUUGGUUCUCUGAACCGGGUCCUGAUUAAAAGGGACAUUUGAGGGCGUUAGUACUUGGUGGCGAGAGGUGAAAUUCUUAGACCCACCAAAGACUCACUAAUGCGAAAGCAUUCGCCAAGAAUGUUUUCAUUGAUCAAGAACGAAAGUUAGAGGUUCGAAGACGAUCAGAUACCGUCCUAGUUCUAUACAGUAAACUAUGCCACCAUGGGAUCAGUCCGGAAGGCGAUCCAGGUUGGUCCCUCAAGGAAACUCGAAGCGUUCGGGUUCCUGGGGGAGUAUGGUCGCAAGUCUGAAACUUAAAAGAAUUGACGGAAGGGCACCACCAGGAGUGGAGCCUGCGGCUUAAUUUGACUCAACACGGGGCAACUCACCAGGUCCAGACAUUGAAAGGAUCGACAGACUGAUAGAUCUUUCGAGAUCCGAUGAUUGGUGGUGCAUGGCCGUUCUUAGUUGGUGGAGUGAUCUGUCAGGUCUAUUCCGGUAACGAGCGAGACCACGAUCUCUAUUUGAUUGCGGCCAAAACUUAUGUAUUGGCUGGUCAUAGAGAGACUACCGGAGAACAAGCCGGGGGAAGCGUGGCAAUAACAGGUCUGUGAUGCCCUUUGAUGUUCUGGGCCGCACGCGCGCUACAAUGGUAGUGACAACAAGUGUCUGCUUCGAGAGAAGUGGAGAAUCUUGGCAAUCACUGUCGUGAUUGGGAUUGAGCCUUGUAAUAAUUGCUCAUGAAAGAGGAAUUCCUCGUAAGCGCGAGUCAUCAACUCGUGUUGAAUACGUCUCUGCCCUUUGUACACACCGCCCGUCGCUACUACCGAUUGAAUGAUUUUUCGAG
rnacentral:rRNA from 1 species